GGGCCCCGCCGGAAGCCCGUCCAGCGCCCCACAAAAGCGGCGCGACAAGUCUACUACUGGGCCGAACGCCUCUGGGCGGCGCGCGCCAGAGGGAAACGUUCGCGGCCGAACGUUCAGGAGAAAAGGCUCCAGCAGCUCCCAGCCGACCCCGCCCCUCCCCGACCUACCAUAGACGCCGUCCUCCAUGGCGGCUAGGAAGGCCCGCGGGGAGUCCGGGGCGGUCCCGCCGGUCGGGCCUGGAUCCGCGUUGGCCCGCGGGCUCGGAUGGGGAAACUGACAUGAAGAGGAGUCCAAAGUGACACAGUCAACCCAGAAUUGUUGCUUCUCAAGUCCUGAGUCCACCUCCUGGCACUGCUAAGAAGUCCACCUGGAGGUGAUGAGAACUUACAGGCUUUGGUAAUGGACAACUCUGGAUGCCUGGAGCCUUCAUUCCUUUUGGCAUUACAGAACCACAAGAAGUCAUCUAGCAUCAUCGAGAUUCUCAACUCCAUUGGCCAAGCUGGAACCAGCAAAAUCUCAGACAUCUAGAAUUGCCACUGCUUCCUUGACUCUGUGAUCAGUCUAGAGCCACAGAAUCCUGAUUCCCUUUGGACAUUCUAGAAUGGCACUUAAAAAAACCCACCCCGUGGAUCCUUUCAAAGCAUUGCUUAUUCUCUUGGUUGGGUGCUCUACAGCCAGAAGUUGGAGUUGUCUAAUAUCAAGAAUUCCUAAUCUGUUACUUUAGUCUUUCUAAACCCACAGACUCAACGUUUUGUGCAUUCUAGAAACACUACUCUUUAGUUUCUAGAGUAGUUCAACUCUCCAGGUCAAACCUGUCCUAGAAUCACCAGUGCUUGCCUCUGUGGUCAACCUAGACUCAGAAUCUCAACUAAUGAGCUUUCU